rnacentral:rRNA from 1 species
GAUGAACGCUGGCGGCGUGCCUAAUACAUGCAAGUCGAGCGAACAGACGAGGAGCUUGCUCCUUUGACGUUAGCGGAGGACGGGUGAGUAACACGCGGAUCAUCUCCUUAUAAGACUGGGAUCACUUCGGGACACCGGCGCUAAUACCGGAUAAUCUACUGCACCGUAUGGUUCAAUAGUGAAAGACGGUUUUGCUGUCAGUACUAGCUGCAUCUGGGCCGCUUUAGCUAGUUGGUAGGGUAACGGCUUACCAAGGCUACGAUGCGUAGCCGACCUGAGAGGGUGGUCGGCCACACUAGAACUUGGACACGGUCCAGACUCCUACGAGAGGCAGCAGUAGGGAAUCGGCCGCAAUAGGCGAAAGCCUGACGGAGCAACGCCGCGUGAGUGGUGAAGGUCUUCGGAGCGGAAAACUCUGUUAUGAGGGAAGAACAAAUGUGGAAGGAGCUGUACACGUCUUGACGGUACCUAAUCAAAAAGCCACGGCUAACUACGUG